UAAACCAGGAUUAGAUACCCUANUAUGCCUAGCCCUAAACANUGAUNAUAACCUACUUAUUUUAUCCGCCCGGGUACUACGAGCGUCAGCUUGAAACCCAAAGGACUUGGCGGUGCUUUAGAUCCACCUAGAGGAGCCUGUUCUAGAACCGAUAAUCCCCGUUAAACCUCACCUUUCCUUGUCAUUUCCGCCUAUAUACCGCCGUCGUCAGCUUACUCUGUGAAGAGCCUGUAGUAAGCACAACUGGUNAAGCCUAAAACGCCCGGUCGCAGGUGUACCGAAUGGAAANGGAAGAAAUGGGCGACACUCAAUAUUUUAUAAUGAACGCGGGAUGUUAUCUAUGAAAUUGAAUAUAUUUANAGAUAGGUUUUUCUANUGUGUCAUUAGAUUAGAAGCGAUAAUUUUUUGA
rnacentral:rRNA from 1 species